AGGAAUUGGCGGGGGAGCACCACAACGCGUGGAGCCUGCGGUUUAAUUGGAUUCAACGCCGGACAUCUCACCAGAGGCGACAGCUGUAUGAUAGCCAGGUUGAUGACUUUGCUUGACUAGCUGAGAGGAGGUGCAUGGCCGCCGUCAGCUCGUACCGUGAGGCGGCCUGUUAAGUCAGGCAACGAGCGAGACCCACGCCCUUAGUUACCAGCUUAUCCUUUUUUGGAUGAUGGGCACACUAAGGGGACCGCCUAUGAUAAAUAGGAGGAAGGAGUGGACGACGGUAGGUCCGUAUGCCCCGAAUCCUCUGGGCAACACGCGGGCUACAAUGGCUGAGACAAUGGGUUCCGACACCGAAAGGUGGAGGUAAUCCUCUAAACUUUGUCGUAGUUCGGAUUGAGGACUGUAACUCGUUCUCAUGAAGCUGGAAUGCAUAGUAAUCGCGUAUCACUAUUGCGCGGUGAAUACGUCCCUGCUCCUUGCACACACCGC
rnacentral:rRNA from 1 species